rnacentral:rRNA from 1 species
CGGGUCGCUGCAGCAGUGAGGAAUAUUGCACAAUGGGGGGAACCCUGAUGCAGCAACGCCGCGUGGAGGAUGACGCAUUUCGGUGUGUAAACUCCUUUUAUAUGUCAAGAAAAUGACGGUAGCAUAUGAAUAAGCACCGGCUAACUCCGUGCCAGCAGCCGCGGUAAUACGGAGGGUGCAAGCGUUACUCGGAAUCCCUGGGCGUAAAGGACGCGUAGGCGGGUUGGAAAGUCAGGUGUGAAAUCCUACAGCUUAACUGUAGAACUGCACUUGAAACUUCUAAUCUAGAGUAUGGGAGGGGGAGAUGGAAUUAGUGGUGUAGGGGUAAAAUCCGUAGAUAUCACUAGGAAUACCUAAAGCGAAGGCGAUCUCCUGGAACAUUACUGACGCUAAGGCGUGAAAGCGUGGGGAGCAAACAGGAUUAGAUACCCUCGUAGUC